rnacentral:snoRNA from 1 species
AACGCUAAUUACACAGCCAUCCACAACGUCACAGAAUUCCGUCGAGGCCGAACCCGUUUAGGCGUUCGUGGCCCAUGACCAUCGGAGUAUUGUUGUGGGAUGAAGUAUUUACUUCGUCUAACUCGUGAUGGUCUGGAGAAUGAUCGGUUGAUCUUGGGUGCAGCAUUUCAUCUGUUGAUAGCUUGCUAUCACUAAGGGAUUACCUUCGUGUACCCGAAUGGGAAAUGGUGCAAUGAUCAGCUGUACAUUU